rnacentral:rRNA from 1 species
AAUGCAUAGGAAUCUGCCCAGUAGUGGGGGAUAACGUGGAGAAAUCCACGCUAAUACCGCAUAUGUCCUACGGGACAAAGCAGGGGACCUUCGGGCCUUGCGCUAUUGGAUGAGCCUAUGUCGGAUUAGCUAGUUGGUAGGGUAAAAGCCUACCAAGGCGACGAUCCGUAGCUGGUCUGAGAGGAUGAUCAGCCACACUGGGACUGAGACACGGCCCAG